AUUUGCUGGGUGGUGACGUUGGUCAGAUACCAUGCUGGGUUCUGGGGACUGAGAGGAGACUUUCCUGAGAUCAAACAUGGUAUCAACGUGCAGAGCCUGCUCUCAUGCCUCUUCUCCCAGUGAGUGUAUUCCCUGAAGGAAACUAGACAGGUGAACUUAGAGGGCUAGAGUUUACAAUGUACUUGUUGCUUUUAAAAACACUCCAGAGGUUCUGUGAAGGAGAGAGGACACAUCUGGCAUUUGAGGAAACAGAUAGAGAAAAUCAAAAUGACUUUUUCAGAGUCAAAAACCAAAUUCGUUCUAGGCAAAAAACAGGCCCAGAACCUCGAUCUCAAUUCUGAGUUGUAUUCUUUCCACCUGUUGUACUGUAAUGUGGCUUCCCAUUAGAUAGUUUUAAUUACAUGGUUAAAGAAAUGUAAAUCUGCCUUGAGAAAACCCAAUAUCAAAGCGAAUAGUCACAGGUGUGACAAGGUGGAGGCAGAGGAGAGGAGGAGAGGACAGGAAAUAGAAACUAUGUACAUUUUAAAAAUAUUCUUAAAAGUAAGAUUCUUUUCAUUCGGAUUGUUUUAGAAAUGCAUACUUUUUUUUUUUUUUCUGUCUGCUGAGAGACCCACAAGUGGCAUAUGGAGGUUCCCAGGCUAGGGGUCACAUCGGAGCUGUAACCGCUGGCCUACACCCCACCACAGCAACGCUAGAUCCUUAGCUCACUGAGCCAGGUCAGGGAUCGAACCCAUAUCCUCAUGGUUACUAGCUGGGUUCGUUACCCACUGAGCCACAACGGGAACUCCUAGAAAUGCAUACAUUUCUUGAAUGGAGUUAACACUCUCAGUCUUCUCAACUUUCCCCUCUUUAUAGAAACUGUAUGAUGCUAUUCAUUGGGGUUGAAAUAACUCUUUGUACAAAGAGAAACCUCUGUCACCCUAGAUAUAUUUCCCAUGCCAACCAUUGUAUUUUUAGGUGUCUGUUUAUCCAAAAGCUCUAAAUGGUUUCAUAAAGUCAUCUUUAAGCUGCAUUCAUGCAAAGGAUUAAAUGAAGAUCAUAGUUAUGAUCACAUGGAGAAAUCCUAUUCUUGUAAAUAGUUUUCAUAAGAGUAGCUCAUUGUCAGAUAUUAGUAGUGAGAUACUGUGAGGCAUCUAAAAUGAACCCAUGCAUUGGUCCUUGUGAAAAAUACAAAUUUAAACAAUAUUCCCUCUAAAUAAUAGGUCCUUCCCCUUCAACAGCAACAUAUUUAUUUUUCUACGGUAUCAUCUGACCUGAUGUUCCCAGUAAGAGAAUGAACUCUGGAGCCAGACUGCCUGGGAUCAAAUCCAGCUCUGCUAUGAACCAUCUAUACUAAAACUUUCUCUUUGAGAAAGGAGACAAGACGUGGAGUAGAAGGACUUGAGCUCACCUCCUUUCACGAAAACACCAGAAUCACAACUAACAGGUGAACGGUUUGGCAAAAAAAGCCUGGAACCUACCAAAAGAAGAUAUUCUACAUCCAAAGACAAAGAAACCACAAUAAGAUGGAGACAACUGUGGGAACUAUCACAGAGCUUCUUAGAAGACCUGGUGGAAUCAAGCUGCUAUUGUCUACACAGCAAGGACUUCAAUAACACAACUUUAUGUUGACCCUUCCCCUUACUUCGUUUUAAUAUCACAAAUCCCUCGCUCCAAUUCUUGGGGGUCUGGGAGGUGCAUCAGGUCAUUUAUUAGUUUAAUCUUUCUAAAAAAUUUUCUCUGGGAGCUUCUGAUAUGCUUCACCACAUUCUGUAUGCUUGGUGUUAUGUCAUCCUUGGAUAUCUCAUCACCGUCAUCCGGGGAAUUUCUUCAUCUCUCUCCUAUGCUGAAUCUUAGUCUUUGCACUUUCGUCUUCAUUUUGCUUGGUUUAUGCCCUUAUUUUUACGAAGCACAUUCUCUAGUAGUUUAUUGAGAAAGACCAUAUGGAGGUAAAGUUUGUGAGACCUUGUACAAAUAAAAAUGUCUUCAUUUUACCCU
ensembl:lncRNA